AGUGAACGCUGGCGGUAGGCCUAACACAUGCAAGUCGAACGGCAGCACAGUAAGAGCUUGCUCUUACGGGUGGCGAGUGGCGGACGGGUGAGGAAUACAUCGGAAUCUACUUUUUCGUGGGGGAUAACGUAGGGAAACUUACGCUAAUACCGCAUACGACCUACGGGUGAAAGCAGGGGAUCUUCGGACCUUUCGCGAUUGAAUGAGCCGAUGUCGGAUUAGCUAGUUGGCGGGGUAAAGGCCCACCAAGGCGACGAUCCGUAGCUGGUCUGAGAGGAUGAUCAGCCACACUGGAACUGAGACACGGUCCAGACUCCUACGGGAGGCAGCAGUGGGGAAUAUUGGACAAUGGGGGCAAGCCUGAUCCAGCCAUACCGCGUGGGUGAAGAAGGCCUUCGGGUUGUAAAGCCCUUUUGUUGGGAAAGAAAAGCAGCAGGUUAAUACCCCGCUGUUCUGACGGUACCCAAAGAAUAAGCACCGGCUAACUUCGUG
rnacentral:rRNA from 1 species